UGGGGAAUAUUGGACAAUGGGCGCAAGCCUGAUCCAGCCAUUCCGCGGGUGUGAAGAAUGCCUUUUGGUUGUAAAGCACUUUAAGCGAGGAGGAAGCUACUUGGAUUAAUACUCUAGGAUAGUGGACGUUACUUGCAGAAUAAGCACCGGCUAACUCUGUGCCAGCAGCCGCGGUAAUACAGAGGGUGCGAGCGUUAAUCGGAUUUACUGGGCGUAAAGCGUGCGUAGGCGGCUUUUUAAGUCGGAUGUGAAAUCCCUGAGCUUAACUUAGGAAUUGCAUUCGAUACUGGGAAGCUAGAGUAUGGGAGAGGAUGGUAGAAUUCCAGGUGUAGCGGUGAAAUGCGUAGAGAUCUGGAGGAAUACCGAUGGCGAAGGCAGCCAUCUGGCCUAAUACUGACGCUGAGGUACGAAAGCAUGGGGAGCAAACAGG
rnacentral:rRNA from 1 species